rnacentral:rRNA from 1 species
AACGAACGCUGGCGGCAUGCCUAACACAUGCAAGUCGAACGAGACCUUCGGGUCUAGUGGCGCACGGGUGCGUAACGCGUGGGAACCUGCCCUUAGGUUCGGAAUAACUCCCCGAAAGGGGUGCUAAUACCGGAUAAUGUCUUCGGACCAAAGAUUUAUCGCCUUUGGAUGGGCCCGCGUUGGAUUAGCUAGUUGGUAGGGUAAAAGCCUACCAAGGCGACGAUCCAUAGCUGGUCUGAGAGGAUGAUCAGCCACACUGGGACUGAGACACGGCCCAGACUCCUACGGGAGGCAGCAGUGGGGAAUAUUGGACAAUGGGCGAAAGCCUGAUCCAGCAAUGCCGCGUGAGUGAUGAAGGCCUUAGGGUUAAAGCUCUUUUACCCGGGAUGAUAAUGACAGUACCGGGAGAAUAAGCUCCGGCUAACUCCGUG